rnacentral:rRNA from 1 species
UACGUAGGGUGCGAGCGUUGUCCGGAAUUAUUGGGCGUAAAGAGCUCGUAGGCGGCCUGUCGCGUCGGAUGUGAAAGCCCGGGGCUUAACCCCGGGUCUGCAUUCGAUACGGGCAGGCUAGAGUGUGGUAGGGGAGAUCGGAAUUCCUGGUGUAGCGGUGAAAUGCGCAGAUAUCAGGAGGAACACCGGUGGCGAAGGCGGAUCUCUGGGCCAUUACUGACGCUGAGGUGCGAAAGCGUGGGGAGCAAACAGG